GCAUUCUAUCCUUCAUUCCACCGGAGUCUGUGUCAUGAACCAUUCAGAUUUCAGUGGUGUGAAGAGUAAGAAACA
rnacentral:pre_miRNA from 1 species